CUGAAGAGUCCCAUAAUAGGACGAAACAAUUGUC
rfam:Schistosoma haematobium scaffold557_5, whole genome shotgun sequence.